rnacentral:tRNA from 1 species
GUGGCCGUGGCUCAAUGGUAAAGCAGCGGAUUGUGGAUCCGCCAUUUGCGGGUUCGAGUCCCAUCGGUCACCCCA